rnacentral:rRNA from 1 species
GGAUAGGAAAUUAAGAGGCAUCUUUUAAUUUUUAAAAGACCUUUUUCGAAAGGUAUGCUUAAAGAGGGGCUUGCGCCACAUUAGUUAGUUGGUAAGGUAAAGGCUUACCAAGACGAUGAUGUGUAGCUGGACUGAGAGGUCGAACAGCCACAUUGGGACUGAGACACGGCCCAAACUCCUACGGGAGGCAGCAGUAAGGAAUUUUUGGCAAUGGAGGAAACUCUGUCCGAGCGACGCCGCGUGAACAAUGAAGUACUUCGGUAUGUAAAGUUCUUUUAUUGAAAAAGAAAAAAUAGUGGAAAAACUAUCUUGACAUUAUUCAAUGAAUAAGCCCCGGCUAAUUAUGUGCCAGCAGCCGCGGUAAUACAUAAGGGGCGAGCGUUAUCCGGAAUUAUUGGGCGUAAAGGGUGCGUAGGCGGUUUGAUAAGUCUAUAGUUUAAAUGCAGUGCUUAACGCUGUAGCGCUAUAGAAACUGUCUGACUAGAGUUAGAUAGAGGCAAGCGGAAUUCCAUGUGUAGCGGUAAAAUGCGUAAAUAUAUGGAGGAACACCAGAGGCGUAGGCGGCUUGCUGGGUCUUAACUGACGCUGAGGCACGAAAGCGUGGGGAGCAAACAGGAUUAGAUACCCUGGUAGUCCACGCCGUAAACGAUGAGUACUAAGUGUCGGGUUUCGGCUCGGUACUGAAGUUAACACAUUAAGUACUCCGCCUGAGUAGUACGUACGCAAGUAUGAAACUUAAAGGAAUUGACGGGACCCCGCACAAGCGGUGGAUCAUGUUGUUUAAUUCGAAGAUACACGAAAAACCUUACCAGGUCUUGACAUAAUUUUGCGACAUUAUAGAAAUAUAAUGAAGGUUAUCAGAAUUACAGGUGGUGCAUGGUUGUCGUCAGCUCGUGUCGUGAGAUGUUAGGUUAAGUCCUAAAACGAGCGCAACCCUUGUCGUUAGUUGCGACCACGUAAUGGUGAGCACUUUAGCGAGACUGCCAAUGAAAAAUUGGAGGAAGGUGAGGAUUACGUCAAAUCAUCAUGCCCCUUAUGAUCUGGGCUACAAACGUGAUACAAUGGCUGUUACAAAGAGUAGCUACAACGUGAGUUUUUAGCCAAUCUCAAAAAAACAGUCUCAGUUCGGAUUGAAGUCUGCAACUCGACUUCAUGAAGUUGGAAUCGCUAGUAAUCGCGAAUCAGCAUGUCGCGGUGAAUACGUUCUCGGGGUUUGUACUAACCGCCCGA